GUGCCCCAAUAAGUUUUAUCUUCCAAUUCCCAAAUCCUGUAAUUCUGUAGUAAAUUAUGCAAACUGAAAACCCAUACAUGCCCUGCAAAUUCUGACUUAGCAUUGUCAACUACCUCAAUUUUUUGGUAGAUGCAUUGUAUGGUUCCUGGAUUGCCUUUUAUGAUUAACUGAUGUGUUUGGCAAACAGAUCAUUUAAACAGUAUCAUUUCAUUGUGGAAUGGGAGUGGGACUCGUGCAAAUGAAUAAGGAUCCUGGUAGCAAACAUGUCAAUGUGGUAGAAACGCUUGUGGGAUACUGAGCAAGAAAGCUGGUGGUUGAACCAAAAAUCAGGCCAGUCUACUUAUUAGAUUGCAGGGUGUAUGGUUGCUCUACUAGUAGUGGCUUCUACUCUGCUGGCAACAGUGGCCAUUCUACUUGGUGAUUUUGACCAUAUCAAUAAGGUCUUGUUUCUAAUUCUGCUUUUGCUUCCUGUACUUUGAACAUAUGAUCAGCGAACUGAGGAAAAGUAUUUGUUUCUUGCAGUUUUGGUACUACACAAAGAAAGCCCAAUUUUGUUCCAUUUAAUGAGAAAUUGAUGAAAUCGACUCGAGGUAUUGCGUAUGUCCUAUGCUUUCAGAAACAGAAUUGUGGGUGAUAUAUUGGCACUUGAAUCCAAAAGAUUAUGAUAAUGAUGAGGAGCUGUGGAAAAUCCGAGAGAGCAGGGCCUAUAAUUAUAUGUUUAUUUGCUCUUUGUUUUGUAAGCCAUCAUGGGAAAGGAGAAGGUUCACAUUAACAAUGUCGUCAUUAGUCAUGUCGACUCUAGCAAGUCGACCACAAUUGGGCAUCUUAUCUAUAAGCUUGUUGGAAUUGAUAAGUGUGUGAUUGAGAGGUUCGAGAAGAAAGCUGCUGAGGUGAAAAAGAGGUCAUUCAGGUAUGCAUGGGUUCUUGAUAAGCUCAAGGCU